rnacentral:lncRNA from 1 species
UUCCCGAACCUCCCUGUCUCAGCGUCCUCACCCAUUAAAAUAUCAGUAGGACAAGUACCAAAGUACCGCUUUGUUCCAGGAAUUCACUGGUUAACUUGCGUAACAUAUUUUAAACAGAGCCUGACAUGUGUAAUAUGUGUGUGCAAGUAUGACCAGAGCGGCAGCAGAAUGAAGAGAAACUCGAACACUGAUGACUCAGGGAGGUUGUAGAGGCUGUCUUCAGAAGUUUGUCACAGAAAGACUGGUUGCCAUUUCCUCCGUGUGUCUUGUUUAUCAGUGUGUUGA